rnacentral:rRNA from 1 species
UACGUAGGGUGCGAGCGUUAAUCGGAAUUACUGGGCGUAAAGGGCGCGUAGGUGGCUUGGUAAGCGUGUGGUGAAAGUCCGGGGCUCAACCCCGGAUCUGCCAUGCGAACUGCCGAGCUCGAGCAUUGUAGAGGCAGGUGGAAUUUCGGGUGUAGCGGUGGAAUGCGUAGAUAUCCGAAAGAACACCGGUGGCGAAGGCGGCCUGCUGGGCAAUUGCUGACACUGAGGCGCGACAGCGUGGGGAGCAAAC